rnacentral:rRNA from 1 species
GAUGAACGCUGGCGGCGUGCCUAAUACAUGCAAGUCGAGCGAACAGACGAGGAGCUUGCUCCUCUGACGUUAGCGGCGGACGGGUGAGUAACACGUGGAUAACCUACCUAUAAGACUGGGAUAACUUCGGGAAACCGGGGCUAAUACCGGAUAAUAUAUUGAACCGCAUGGUUCAAUAGUGAAAGACGGUUUUGCUGUCACUUAUAGAUGGAUCCGCGCCGCAUUAGCUAGUUGGUAAGGUAACGGCUUACCAAGGCAACGAUGCGUAGCCGACCUGAGAGGGUGAUCGGCCACACUGGAACUGAGACACGGUCCAGACUCCUACGGGAGGCAGCAGUAGGGAAUCUUCUGCAAUGGGCGAAAGCUUGACGGAGCAACGCCGCGUGAGUGAUGAAGGUCUUCGGAUCGUAAAACUCUGUUAUUAGGGAAGAACAAAUGUGUAAGUAACUAUGCACGUCUUGACGGUACCUAAUCAGAAAGCCACGGCUAACUACGUG